GGCUCUUUGGCGUUGUGGUCAAAGUCGCAUGUUUGGUACCCUGUAGACCCUGGUUCGAGGCCGGGUGGGGUGA